CUUCAUUUAGUAUUUUUUUUGCUCCCUCUGGAACUUUGAAACUUGUGAGCCACAUGAAAUAACUAAUCGAGCAUCCAUAUCAUUACAUUAAUGUGUGCUAUAUUAAUUUUAGGAUAAAGUAUUUACCGCCGACCAAACACAUGGCAAUUGAGAGGGAAAUUGAGAGGGCAAAUAAAAAAAAAAAAGCAGUAAAUAAUACCAAAGGCAUUAUAUCGAAUUAAGCAAAGAAACUUAUGAAAACUGUAUUACCUAGCAACUCUAUCUUAAUGGUUAACUGCAACGGCAAUCCGAAUGACCAACUACAAUUAAAACCAACAUCUGCUUAAAAUGUAAUUAUAAAGUAACAAGAUAAACCUAUAUGAUUGUACCUCGUUUCAUCCGUAUAUUGAAGCAGAUCUCGGCAGACUUAACCAGCUAAAAAAGAUUUCUUAGUUUUGGCCUGCCAAUCUUAAGAUCGUCUGUUCCUCAGUAGAUAAUUUGCUAAAUACGGAUUUUUGGGCAGCUCUUAGAGCCUUAUCUUUGGCAACCUUCUUAACAAAGAAUGCAUGGGAUCUCUCCUUUCUCUUUUCCUCUAAUGCACUAAUAGUCUUACAUUUGUUGUACCCAACUAAGGAUGACAAUGUUCCAAGCGUAGUGUACUUUCUUUGGGGUUUUAAACGCAAUACACGAAGUGAUGAUGGAACAACGACACGCUUAACUUUGUCAAAGGGAGCAGGGCAGCCAUCUAUUGUAGUUAACCUAGCUAGUGCAGCAGCGCCUCUUGGAGUCUUAUGUGGUAUCAUUCCGCGAACAGCUCUAAAUAGAAUCUUCGAAGGGGCACGAUGAUGGAAAGGUCCCUUUCUUGGAUUUGUGUUCAUUCGUUUACGUAAAAAGUCUUGGUACUUCAUACGGUUUCUAUAGAGUGAUCCUGAUAUAUUUAUUCCUUCGCAUCUUACUGCGACUAUUUUCUGGCCGUUUAAUAAUUCCUUCGCGAUCACAGAUGCUAAACGCCCCAACAAUGAGCCACGGCAAUCAAUCACAAUCUUCUCUUUCAUCAUUUUCUGUUAGAUAAAAAUUAGGGUGAAUAAUCCAAGUUUUUAUUUAUUCUGAAUUUACUAGAGUUUCAGCAAAUGGUGUCAAACUAUGUUACAAUUAUUAUUCAGAGACAGACAUUGCUUUAUGCGCGUCUACAUUUAGUGCGGUACUAAUUGCCGCAUUAAAAUAAAAGCGGAAUCAAUAACUAGUUCCUGAGGAAUUUAUGAUCAUUUUCCCAUGGAUCUAAAUUUGCAAUAUCAAUUAAGUUUUCAACAUGUUCGCUCUUACUUUCAAUAUGUUUUAAUAAAUUUUUUAUGCAAU
rnacentral:antisense_RNA from 1 species